AGACUCGUCAGACCCCUGCACAAUUGAAAGGAAAGCUCGAAGAAUUAGUGUAACCUCCAAAGUACAGGAGGACGUUCAUGACACCCAGGCAGCAGCUGCCGAUGAGCAUCCAGGUGGCUCCAAACAGAGUCCUCGGACACAACCCCGAGAUGAAGACUAUGAAGGGGCUCCAUGGAAUUGUGACAGCUGCACCUUUCUAAACCACCCUGCACUAAAUCGCUGUGAGCAGUGUGAGAUGCCACGGUACACUUGAAUUCUGAGGAGUCUGCACCUGGUUGAGAGUGAAACUUUGAGCAACCCAUUAGAAGAAAAGGAAACCUCGGGAAUCUGUUCCAUCUGCCCAGGCUUUUCAUUUCAGAUUAUGUGGGGGUGGGAGGGGGGAGGAGGAAUGACACUGCAGCCGCUUGUGCUCACUUAAGGAAAAAUAGGGAGGGUUUUUUCCACCCCUUUCUUAACUCAUAGCAGUUAGGGAUAGAAAGGGAUACUUGAAAUGGGGAAAGGAUUCACUCCUGAAAGAAUGUACAUGGAGAAGUCAAGAGCUCUUAAUGUUACUGCUGAGUGACCCUUAUUUUAUAAACUAUAACUUUGAAUCAUGGUAUAACAUGUUACAGUUUAUGCAGACAAACUGUGAACUGCCAGAGCAGACUUACCUGGUCACAGCUCUCUGGAAAACCCAGGCUCCUCAGGCUUCUUCCAGUGGCUUCCUACUCAAGAGAAGGACAGGGAAAAGCAACCAGAGGAUGAUUUUGGGGGGAGCAAAAUAAUAAGGGUAUUUGUAAUUGCUGCUUUUUUCAGGGGUAAUUUCCAACACACAAACAAGAUGUUUUAAAAUGUGAUUUGUAGCAGGUCAGGAAUUAGGCAUAUCAUGCCCUUUUUUCGAAAGUACAAUCGGAGGUGAUAAGAACCCUUUUGCUUGUACAGUGAUUCAUCAAGCUACAUCAACACUGGUAACCAAGACCUAAUUACGCUGCAUAAUAUGUAUUUUACGUUACUGCAUGCUUUUAUUAGGCCACUGGUUUUUAAAAUAACCAACAAGUCCUUACAAAUUAAAAUUUCAUGAAUGAUCUCAUCAAACUGCGCUUUGCAAAUAGCACAGUGAAUGUAUGCUGAAUGUAAAUCCAUUCCGAAAUCCACUUGGAAUCUUGAGCUCAGCUGUGGUUCUGUAAGAGAUGUUCGCAGUCCAUAAAUUAGCCUUUUUCUUUCCCCACCUUCCAGUUUGUGACAAGUUCAUGAUGUUUACAGCACAGAUAAUAUUUUGUGCCAUAAUCCUAAUGUAGCUGAAAAAAAUCAAUAUUAGCUGUUCAAUAAAGAUGUAUUUGCACAUAUGUUAAUAAACCAGUGUGUGAAAAAUUAUAGUUGGCCAAUAUCAUAAAGUUGCACACUGCAUUAUUUGGGGAGGAAGAGAAGGCGACUCAAGAAAUAUGAUUAAGAGAAAGGUAAAUACAAAGGACUGUGAAACUACGAACUUUUAAAAUAUACUGUAUUCAAAUAGUUCAGGUGAUACUAAGGCACUCCUUUAUAAAACUAGAACUUUAGGGUGUAAAUAACUGAAGAGAUAUAAAAUCAUUUGACUCACUAAGGUGCGCCACUGGAAAAUUAUUAAUAGGACGUUAAUUAAGCUCUUUACAAUUGUUGACUUUUCUUCCAAGCUCAAAAUUGGAUUUUUGACUCUUCACCUUAUUUGGGUAAAAUAUAAAGAGCAAUAAUUGGUAGAUUUCCUAAUCCUAAAGGAUUGUACCUGAGGUUAUAACUUGAGGAGUAUCUACUCUCCCAAACUAGGUGUUCCCCUACACGCGCUUCAAGCUGUCAUUGUAUGCUAAUUUAGCAGUCAUCUCUGGCAGACCUGGAAAAACAAGCUGCACUUAAUAGCAUAAUGAAACCAAAGGCAUAAUAACUCAUCACAGUUUUCCAUCAAAAUCGUAAUUUAACAUUGUACCUGCAGCUUUGAAAACAUUUUUUCAGAUGUAGAAAAUGUCCUGAAAAAUAUCCACUUGUCUUACAAAGUCAACGUGGCUGUGUAAUAACACUGAUAAAACAUCUCUCACACAAUAACUGUGGUAAAACUGUGAAAUUAAAGGUGAGAAAGCAGAUGGGCUUAAAAGCAUUGACCUGAAAACAUUCAUUCUUUAAAGGCUUGUUAUAGCAAUGGUGUCUGUCAGUCGCCAAUAAGUCUUAUCAGUCCUACUGUUCUGUAAUAUGCCAAUGCCUUUGCCUUUGUAUGGUUUCAUAUCUCUUUAGUGAUGGUCAACCCCACUUGGUAUUAAGUAACAAUUUAGGGAAAAAUAUAUAUGUAUAUAUAUAUACUGAUGGAUGUUCUAGCUAAAGGUUUUUACCCAGUAUUCUUAGUGAUAUGCUGAAGUGGCAGCAAUUAACUUGGCAGUUGUCAGUUGAGAAUGAAAGUAGCAUGUAUGAAAGCAGUUUGAUGCUUUAUUAAAACCAUGUAGAUGACUUUAGAACUAUUGCAUGAACAUACAUCCAGAUUACUGAACUGUUAUCACACAGUAGAUGCAUGGUUCCAGUCCUUUGGUGAUAUAUCUAGUAAAUCAUUGUUUUCACCUGCCAGGAAAAAUGAGAAACCAGUCUAUUUGAUAGGUAUGGAGGGUGGGGUAUGAGACAUCAGAGACUGAUUUUUAAGAAAGUUUUGUAUGUGUUCAUUUCUGGUUGUGCACAAGUUUCAUACGCUGACAUAGGCUGUAUUCAUUUUUAAAAUAACCAACAUUCUUUGACACUGAUCAAUCUGAUGUAUUUAACUGUGUCCCAUGUAUAGACUUCUUGCCUGUAAUCCGUUUGAACAAGAAUUCAGUCAACUUUCAAGAUACCUUUUCAAAAGGAUCUCCCGGUAGGACUGAUAUGUACAAACAAUUGGCAUAUAAAUGGUAGGAUAGAAAUUGGAUAAUGCCUGCCUGCUGAGGUGCCUGUACUUUUUGAAUCAGUUGGUGCACUUCUCAUUUCUAGUAAAGAUUUUUUUCUUAAAAUACAACUAGUUUGAUGUAUUUGGUAACAUAUAGACCUGACUAUACAUUUUACAUUAUUUCACGUUUUGUUAACUGGGUUUUUAGAAAACACCUUUACCAUUUUUUUAAAGUACAUUGGCCCUUAAAUUUUGGAGCACGUCUUAAAUGUUUAAAGUGGUAAUGGAGGAGCCAGAAACUGUCUAAGCAUUGUAAAAUGUUUAGAGUAAUGACCUUGUUUUGAGAGAGUGUAGAGGAAGGGCGUUUUAAAUAUACAAAGGAAAUGCAUUGUAAAAAGGUAGUUUUAGAGCAGAUUAAUGAUGGUGGGGAAAGUGUUGCUAAUUUGUCUAUUUCCCUGAAAAAAAUAGGAGUGUGAUGAGCAGUUUAAUAAUUUUUAAGGAGCUGGUCUCAAUUUUAGUACUUAUAAUUAUUAUAAGAAAUCAGUGUUUCCUUAAAUUUUGUCAUUGCUUUGUCCCAGUUAUCUAGGGUUCAUAUUCCAACUUUCUGUGGCAACUCAAUUUUACAUAGUAUUUUAAGGUAAUUGUAAUGUCUUUGACAGUAUAAACAAAAAGCAAGAAUAUUAGGCAUAGAAAAAUUGUCCUUCGAAAAUAUCAAUGAUGUAUCCUGGAAUGUGAAGAUGUCCCCUUAUAGUUUAAAUUGAUUUAUUUUAAUAUCGUAAUCAUUGUUUAGACUUUAAAUGAGUCAUUAUAUAGUGUCUAUAUAUCCAUAGAGAAAGGAAAAUGACAAUUGAAAUGUUACUUUAAAAUCGUAAUAAAUUGGGCACUGUCUGUUGCACCACUACUGUAUCUUUUUGAAAGAAUUAAUAUUUUCUUAUUGUAAAAGUUAAUUCUGAUGAUGAUUUCACACUCACCAGACACCCAUUUUUUUCUGUAUUAUUUGCAUCCCCAAAUAUUUAAUACAAAUAGAUUUUGCAUGACUUGGGCAUUCAGAGAUUAAUAGAACGAUGACUCAGUUUUAAGUUCUAAAGCCAUGAAAAGUUGCUUUGAGACUGAACAAUUCUGAAUUCUUAUUUAUAAUGACACCCAAUAUCCAUGUUUCCCUACUGUAAAAGAAUUGAUCAGUUUCUUCACUAAAACAGCAAGAACUUAUUAAAUCUUGUAAAUACCAUGUCUCUUUUAGAUUGCUGUGUUAUGCUGUGAAUCAAAUUAUUUUGAGGUGAAAUUGUACAAAGGCAUUUUAAAAGGCUAUGCAUGCAUCGUACCUCCAAACAAUACAUACUCGGAAAAUCAAAGAUUCCUGCAAAAUAAAUCAAUAAACUAAAAGCAAA
rnacentral:lncRNA from 1 species